UCGUUCCUCCUCCUCCUCUCUUUAUCGAUCUCUCAGAAGAAAGAGGGCCUAAGAUUCUUCUUCUUCUUCUUCUUCUUCUUCGAUGUUCUUCUAUUUCUUUCUUCUCAACUUCUUCUUUUUCGUUGUUUUUCGCUUUUUUUCUUCUCAAAAGCAUGAACUGAGAAAUCGUUCAUAUCAAUUAAGAAGAAAUCUGGAGAAGUAAAUGGAUCAGGAAGGUGUUACUGAGUUUGUGAAUUUUGUUUUGGUUAGGGUUAUUAUUGAUUGAAGAACGACGAAUCAGUAAGAAAUAGAGUUAGGGUUUCUGCAAUUAGUAUUCAGUUUGUGCAAAAUCAAAGGAGGAAAUAGUAGAUUGAAUAACAGAAGGAGGAUAUGGUGGAGUUGUAUUAACUCGGGUUAUAGAGGAUAGGGUAAAUCAUAGAGAGGAAGUUAAAGUUUGGAAAUUGAUUUAAGGUUCAAUUUGUUUCCCGUCGCACUGAGGCCGUAUUGGAUAUGAAGAUGGAGAUGGUGGUUGAGUUCAAGUGUUGAAGUUGCAGCUGCUCUAUAAGCUACAGAAAGUGGAGAUAGAAUUGUUGUGUGUUGUGUUGAUGAGUCUGAGAAGAUUCGAAGUAGGGUUAUGUGGGAUAUUGUAUGAUAUUGAAGUGGUAGAAGAUGAAUUUCUAUGAAGUUGAUGGUUGAACUGAGUGCAAUCAAGCCAUGGCAUUGCAGGUGGUCUGGAACUGAGAUUGGUAAGGGUUCAGCUGGUGCUAGUUGUCCUGUUGAGAAGUUGUUGUUGCAGAGCUGAAGUGAAUGGUACUGGGAAGGCUGAAUGAAAGAAAUGGGUUGAGCACUAGAUGGAGAUUGAAGCAGCUGCUGCAAUGGAAACUGAGAUGGCAACCAGGUGAAGGCUGUUGGGUUUGAUUUGAAAUGGUUUUAGCUCAAGUUGUAAGCCUGAAGCGCAAGCAGCAUAUAAAUUGAAGCUGGUGCAUUAGCAGUGGGUUUUAGCUAUUUGCAAUUGCAGGUGUGUGGCAUGAGUUGCAGGCAAGGCUGAAUAGGAUAAUGGUCGAACUGGCGGUGUUAACUGGGAUAAUUAUGUCAUUCAGAAGUGGUGAAGAUGCCUCAGGCACCUUUUCCACCUAAAGAAGAAGAAAGGCAGCUUUCAAAGAAGGAGCUGAAGAAAAAGGAACUUGCAGAACUUGAUGCAGUUCUGGCUGAGCUAGGAUUUGACAAGAAAGAAACUGAUGGCCAAGAUGAAUCGCAUGGUAAUUUGAUCAUCUGUUUUUAUGCUUUUUGCUUUAAAGCAGCUGUUAAAUUAGUUGACCUGGUAAGUGUUGCAUGAAUUGUUGUCUGCAUCUUAUGAAAUGCCUGCUGAUUUUAGUUGUUUGAUUGGUGUUUAUGUCUUCUCUAAUUUCUGUAUCUUCCCUGUUUUGUUGUGCUAGUCGCGUCAAGAGCAGGCUAAUUUCAGCUGUACAUCACUCAGAGACUUGUCACUUUUCAUUUCUCUUACAAAAUUCCCUGGCUUCCUUGUAUAAAAGAUGGAAAUGAAAUCUUGAGUCUGAAGCAACUAUAUUUGUGGAAUAUCCUGACAUGAAAUGGUUUUGCUUUGUGUUUCUUUCAAUUUCACUCAUCCUACUUUUAUUUGUGGUUGCUGCUUAUAUGGUUGAAAAGCUAGCUCAAAAUAAGCUUGUUUCAGAACCAGUUUAACACUAAUGGUUUUUGCUAGUGUUGGGUGGCUGAAGCUGGUAUCAUAUGCACAUACAAACUAUGAUGUGCAAGCGCUUUCCAAGUCUAGGGACAAGUAUAUCAAUUCAAGUGUCCAAGACUCUCAACAUCUGAAGGGGAAUCUCUUAUAUGCUGUAGAGAGGGUGUUGAAGCUACCAGUUCUGACUUUGUAUGUGUGACUCUGCAUGUUUAUUGUUUCUUCCACUUGUGAAUCUUGUACAUAAUAUUUAGGUCAAAAAGCUAUUCUCUACCCUGGUUAAAUAUACUCUGGGAACAGCCUUUGCCAUCUGAAUAAUUCCCUAUUUGCUAAGGUCCAGAACCAGCUUGUACAAGUACCAACUCACUUCCUCUAGGUGCUAAGACGUAUUAUUAAAGCAGGUUAGGCGAAGUGUUUCGGAUUUGAGAGCGAAAGACUAAGCAAGAGAAGGCAGAGACUGUUAUGUGAGUUAUGUGCUUGUUUUAUUCUUAUAUGCUCUUAGUUGUAAACAAUUGUUGUAUGAGCUUUAUGCCGCACAUAACUUAGGAAUUCUCUUAAGUUUCUAAGAAGUUGUUGUAUUCCUCAAAACUAAGGAAUUAUGUUAAGUAGUUGUUGAAAGAAUACAACAAGUUGCUGUUGACACCAUGU